rnacentral:lncRNA from 1 species
AACUUUCAGAUAUGUUUUAAAAGUUAGCAUUAUAUUCCAAAUUAAAUUGACCUUUUUUGUUAAAAUUAAUUUGACCUCUUUUUUAAGGUAAUUAAUUUGACCUCUUCUGUUGAAGCAUUUGGGAUCAUAUACAGUUUCAGAUAGAUUGUUUAUUUAUUCAUUCUACAAUUAUUUGUGUAUUUACAUUUUGUUUAUAUACACGUUAUGUGUUGAACGGUUUGGUUUUUUCUUGUUAAACAAGCUGUGUUUCUUCUAAUUUCUACGUUCUCUAGAUUUUCUUAUAUUGAUUAUAGCUGCGAUGAUAAUUUUGGUACAUAUCAAUAUAUGCUUACCUAGUGACAUCGCUAAUUGAUGUUAAUCAAGAAGAACGACAAAUAUUAAGCCCUUUCAUAAAAAAAAUUAAGAACAACAAAUAUUAUUAACUAGCUAUCACUAUAUUAAAUCUAAC